rnacentral:misc_RNA from 1 species
GAUGAAGAACGUAGCGAACUGCGAUAAGUAAUGUGAAUUGCAGAAUUCAGUGAAUCAUCGAGUCUUUGAACGCACAUUGCGCCCCCUGGCAUUCCGGGGGGCAUGCCUGUCCGAGCGUCAUUGCUGCCCUUCAAGCCCGGCUUGUGUGUUGGGUCGUCGUCCCCCCCGGGGGACGGGCCCGAAAGGCAGCGGCGGCACCGCGUCCGGUCCUCGAGCGUAUGGGGCUUUGUCACCCGCUCGAUUAGGGCCGGCCGGGCGCCAGCCGGCGUCUCCAACCUUCUAUUUUACCAGGUUGACCUCGGAUCAGGUAGGGAUAACCGCUGAACUUAAGCAUAUCAAUAAGCGGAGGA